rnacentral:rRNA from 1 species
GAGCUUGAUCAUGGCUCAGAUUGAACGCUGGCGGCAGGCCUAACACAUGCAAGUCGAGCGGAUGAAGGGAGCUUGCUCCUGGAUUCAGCGGUGGACGGGCGAGUAAUGCCUAGGAAUCUGCCUGGUAGUGGGGGAUAACGUCCGGAAACGGGCGCUAAUACCGCAUACGUCCUGAGGGAGAAAGUGGGGGAUCUUCGGACCUCACGCUAUCAGAUGAGCCUAGGUCGGAUUAGCUAGUUGGUGGGGUAAAGGCCUACCAAGGCGACGAUCCGUAACUGGUCUGAGAGGAUGAUCAGUCACACUGGAACUGAGACACGGUCCAGACUCCUACGGGAGGCAGCAGUGGGGAAUAUUGGACAAUGGGCGAAAGCCUGAUCCAGCCAUGCCGCGUGUGUGAAGAAGGUCUUCGGAUUGUAAAGCACUUUAAGUUGGGAGGAAGGGCAGUAAGUUAAUAACCUUGCUGUUUUGACGUUACCAACAGAAUAAGC